AUCAAUGAAGAAUUUUCAAGCAUGUGAAAGGGGAAUGCCCAGGAAGAAAUUCCCUGCAGGUACCUGUCACCACUGUGGCCCUGUAUGCCCCAGUCAGGCAAGACUAAGGGGAAGCUCUCUAGCUACCUUGUCCUUUUUUCUGAUAAGCCCCAAGUGACCAGUAAUUCCUACAAUAUAUGGUGUGUUGGCCGCCUCCAUCUCAUGGGAUUGUGUCUGCUCUCUCACUGGCAAGCUGAAACUUUUCAUGAAGACUUUAAUAAAUCCCUUGGGGGUUGGACCUUUCUGCAAAUAUAUAUUUGUGGUGGUACUAGAAAACACAAUACGCCAUGGAAAUAUUGAGAGUCUUGCCACUACAGCACCAAGGUUGAGCUCCACAGAAGGAAGCUCUGCCCUGAGCUUACCCUGGACCCUCAGCCAAAGCACUGGGGCUGUCCCUGCUGGGUGUGAGUGGGUUUGCACUUGCCCUUUGCCAGGAGAGGUGGGGGCCAAGAACUUUA